GAUGAAGCUGGCGGCGUGUCCUAAUACAUGCAAGUCGAGCGAACGGACGAGAAGCUUGCUUCUCUGAUGUUAGCGGCGGACGGGUGAGUAACACGUGGAUAACCUACCUAUAAGACUGGGAUAACUUCGGGAAACCGGAGCUAAUACCGGAUAAUAUUUUGAACCGCAUGGUUCAAAAGUGAAAGACGGUCUUGCUGUCACUUAUAGAUGGAUCCGCGCUGCAUUAGCUAGUUGGUAAGGUAACGGCUUACCAAGGCAACGAUGCAUAGCCGACCUGAGAGGGUGAUCGGCCACACUGGAACUGAGACACGGUCCAGACUCCUACGGGAGGCAGCAGUAGGGAAUCUUCCGCAAUGGGCGAAAGCCUGACGGAGCAACGCCGCGUGAGUGAUGAAGGUCUUCGGAUCGUAAAACUCUGUUAUUAGGGAAGAACAUAUGUGUAAGUAACUGUGCACAUCCUGACGGUACCUAAUCAGAAAGCCACGGCUAACUACGUGCCAGCAGCCGCGGUAAUACGUAGGUGGCAAGCGUUAUCCGGAAUUCAUUGGGCGUAAAGCGCGCGUAGGCGGUUUUCAAGUCUGAUGUGACAAGCCCAGGCUCAACCGUGGAGGGUCAUUGGAAACUGGAAAACUUGAUGCAAAGAGGACACGGUGGCAAUUCCCUGUGUAG
rnacentral:rRNA from 1 species